AACGGGUUCACUUUCUGCAUCAUGCCUUUAAACAUCCCAGGGUUCUGAAAUAAAUACAGAAAUGAUGCAGUCAAUAAGAUCUACCUGCUUCUCUGAGACGCUGUUAUUGUCCAAGCUGCCGCUGCUGGAGGAGAGGUCAUCGUGAAGAGGCUGGUUAUCCUGGGAAGAAAAAAAUAACGGAGGAUAUCAAGGAGAUUCUCAUUUCCCGUCUCUGGAGGAUCUGCAGAAUCAUCUGGAGGAUCGCUCCGUGGCCCCUGAAGGAGAGAGAGGACAGUCAGGG